CCUACGAGUGGCAGCAGUGAGGAAUAUUGGUCAAUGGCCGGAAGGCUGAACCAGCCAAGCCGCGUGAAGGACGAAGGUGCCAAGCAUUGUAAACUUCUUUUGUCAAGGGACAAAAUCAGGCUCGAGAGCCUGACCGAGGGUACUUGAAGAAAAAGCAUCGGCUAACUCCGUGCAAGCAGCCGCGGUAAUACGGGGGAUGCGAGCGUUGUCCGGCUUUAUUGGGUUUAAAGGGUGCGUAGGCGGGCCGUUAAGUCAGCGGUAAAAGCCCGGGGCUCAACCCCGGCGAGCCGUUGAAACUGGCUGUCUUGGGAUGUCGAGAGGUAUGCGGAAUUCGCAGUGUAGCGGUGAAAUGCUUAGAUAUUGCGCAGAACUCCGAUUGCGAAGGCAGCAUACCGGCGGCGAUCUGACGCUGAGGCACGAAAGCGUGGGUAUCGAACAGGAUUAGAUACCCGGGUAGUC
rnacentral:rRNA from 1 species